rnacentral:rRNA from 1 species
AUACGGAGGGUCCGGGCGUUAUCCGGAUUUAUUGGGUUUAAAGGGAGCGCAGGCGGAGAUGCAAGCGUGACGUCAAAUUUCGGGGCUCAACCCCGUCUCGCGUCGCGAACUGCGUCCCUUGGUUGCGGGAAGGGGAGGCGGAACUCGUGGUGUAGCGGUGAAAUGCAUAGAUAUCACGAAGAACUCCGAUCGCGAAGGCAGCCUUCCGGCCCGUCAACGACGCUCAUGCUCGAAGGUGCGGGUAUCAAACAGGAUUAGAUACCCUGGUAGUCCGCACAGUAAACGAUGGACACCCGCGGUUUGGCCUGUAUGGCUGAGCCGCCAAGCGAAAGCGUUAAGUGUCCCACCUGGGGAGUACGCCGGCAACGGUGAAACUCAAAGGAAUUGACGGGG